CUCAACCGUGGAGGGUCAUUGGAAACUGGGAAACUUGAGUGCAGAAGAGGAGAGUGGAAUUCCACGUGUAGCAGUGAAAUGCGUAGAGAUGUGGAGGAACACCAGUGGCGAAGGCGACUCUCUGGUCUGUAACUGACGCUGAGGCGCGAAAGUGUGGGGAGCGAACAGGAUUAGAUACCCUGGUAGUCCACGCCGUAAACGAUGAGUGCUAAGUGUUGGGGGGUUUCCGCCCCUCAGUGCUGCAGCUAACGCAUUAAGCACUCCGCCUGGGGAGUACGGUCGCAAGACUGAAACUCAAAGGAAUUGACGGGGGCCCGCACAAGCGGUGGAGCAUGUGGUUUAAUUCGAAGCAACGCGAAGAACCUUACCAGGUCUUGACAUCCUUAUGCCUUCCCUAGAGAUAGGGCGUUCCCUUCGGGGACAUA
rnacentral:rRNA from 1 species